UUUAUUUUGGGAUUAGACUUUGGGAUUUUCCUUCACUUUUGGGCCCAGCCCAUGCGGUCUCCAAGCCCAGCCUGCAUAUUGAACCCAGCCCCUUUAAUUUCCUCCAUGCGGUGUCGGGCUUAAUUCCUUCCUUCUUCUCCUCUGUCGCACGCUGCUUCUUUUCUUCUUCUCCUUAUUCUUUUUGGUUCCUUACCUUUUCUUCUGCAAUUCUUGUUGCCGCUGCUACUUCUCCCUGUUUCUACACCUUUCUUUCAUCUCCUUCCUAUUGUUUGAUUUUCUUUUCCUCUUCUCUGCCGCACCAUCUGCUUCUCUUCUUCUCCAUCUCAUUUUCAAGUUUUGAUUUGCAAAUUUGGGACUGCCGCAGCUCUUUCCUCCAUAUUCGGCUGGUUUGGCCGAAGCUCUCUUGUGCGCCUCUUUCUUCUUCUUCUUUUCUUUUGUAUUCUUAGUUUGUUUUGUGUAAAACUCUUGUAUUUCCAUCUGUUUUUCCCCUCAAACCAUACCUUGUUUUCUCCCCCAAAACCGUGACCCUUACCCUGUUUGGGCCCAUUAUCAUGCUCGUUUUCUCUCUCAUUUCCCCUUAGUAAUUUUCGUUAUUCAAGCUUGUGAUUUAUUCUCUUGCAUUUCCAGUUGUUUGACCCCUUUUCGUGCUCUAUUAUAGCCUUAAACCGUGCUGUAUUUUAAGUCAAAUCCUUGCCCUAUUUUUUAUCCCAAGCCGUGGACUUUGAGCUGGGUUUUGAGUUGGUUAUUUUCUCUACCGUAGCCUUAUUUUCCAGCCACAAUAUUCUCAUUUUAUCCUAGUAAAUCAGCCAUUUGUUUUCCAAAAAUAUUACUCCAAAUCUCCUUGUUUUUUAAACCUAUUUUCCAUCCCAAAAGUUGUGAUUUUUUGGUGAUUUAAUUUCGGGCUCACUUUUGACAUUUAACUUGUGCUUGAUCUCUCAAAAUUUACCUUUAAAGCGACUUUUAAAAUACUGUAAGUAUUUUUUAAAUAAUUUUUAAAAUUUAAAUAUAUUUUUGCAUUCACAAAUAUUAUGUAAAAUUGUUUAGUUAUGCCGGAUUAAGUUUAAAGAGUCGGGGGUCGAUUAGAAUAGAGAACUGAGUUGUUUGUGUGAUUAGAUGAUGUUAGAAUUUGUUAGAUAUUUUUGUGUCUUGUUAUAUGCAUUGCAUGGUGCAAUGGGUUCAUGUUUGUAAAAUAAAAAUUGUGUUUUCACAUAUUAUAUGCAUGUUUAUGUGUUGGAAAUGAAAAUUGAGGUUUCAUGUAUAAAUGAAUUUUUGGGUGCAUAUGUAUCAAGACCCUAAGCUGAGAUGAGAUAUCUUGGUGGAGCUUCUCUAGUCACUCGGGAGCAGAAUAUACUUAGUGAUGUCCUCUAAGUUGUUGUUGGGCGACAAUGGGAUCGGACGGAAUGGUAACGCUCUCUUGCUGACUUCGUGGCCCCUCUGCUGGCAGGGGCUAGAUGAUGCUUGGCUACUAACGUGCUGGGUGUGGAAAUGGGCAUCGCUUGUUACGAAGUUAUAUGCAUGGUCGUUACCUAUGGUGUGGCGAAUGGAGUCAGGAUAUGCAGAUGAUCUCUAAGGGAGAUUAUAGUGCAUACGAUAAAAUGGAUAAUGGGAUAUUUUCUGAAAAAAUGACAAGAUUUGGGUAAAGGAUAUGUGAACCAUUUUUUAGAAAAAUUAUGGAAUUUCUGUUGAGCCAUUUUUGGAAAAAUGGCGGAUGUUUGAAUGGAUUGGAUUUUUGGGCCAAAUGAGAUUUUAGCGUGCGUGGGAAAUGAUUCAUUUUUGGAAAGUGAUGACUUUUGGGCCUCCCACAUCUGUCAUCAUGUGCAUGCAUACUAUUGCAUGAAUGCAUUUUUAUCUUGUAGGCUGUUUGGGUUAUUACUUACCUGCGGUACCGUUUCUUGGUAUCGUAGAUUUUGAUGCAGAUGAUGAGGAGGUUGAGCCUGAGAAUGCGGCUCCGCUGAAGAGGUGAUCGGGAUCACUUUCUCAUGGGAUGAAAUUUGUUUCCUUCUUUCGGUUAUUGUAUUUUAGUUUAUUUAGGUUUUCAUUGGAUAAUUGUACUAUUUUUUAUAUGUUUGUAUUUAAGCGAAUUUAUAUUUAAACAA